GCACUGAGUAUCAUGAGAUUUAGGAUCAUAUAUCUUUAGUGGGCGGUGUUUGCUGCCCCAAAUGUCUCAUGCCAUUAAAAUGUUUUGGAAAUGAUUUAGGUAGUUGGAGUUUCCUUCCCAAAGACAAGGCAUUUACAACAUGAUGUCCAAAAUCCAUUGAGUUUGUGUCAUGCAUUCAUUGUAUUCAUAGUCUGCUUUAGGUACUUAGCAAAAUAUUGCUGAUAUUAACAUGCCUUUGUUUGCUUCACUGGAGAUGAAAUUCUGCUGCAAGUGUUUUCCAAGGUUCCGUAUGACCCAUCAUUUGAUGAAACAAGAACAGCAGUCAGAUCCAUUACAAAGAGAGACACACAAAAAAACUAUGUGAAAAUGAGCUUAGCCCCUGGUGUUGUGUUGGAACUUCAGAUGCUUGCAGACACUUCGUGAAUGCUCUGUGACACUCAGAAUAGGCUAUUCCCAACAAAAGAGCUUGAACAGUGCUGCAUUUGCAUCAGGUUCAAAUGAGCGAGAGGAACAUUUGGCUAAAAUAUUUG
rnacentral:sRNA from 1 species